GACGUAGGAUGCAAGCGUUGUCCGGAUUUAUUGGGCGUAAAGAGUUCGUAGGCGGUUCGUUAAGUCUGAUGUUAAGGAUCGGGGCUCAACCCUGGGAGUGCAUUGGAUACUGGCGGACUGGAGUGUGGUAGAGGCGAGUGGAAUUCCCAGUGUAGCGGUGAAAUGCGUAGAUAUUGGGAAGAACACCGGUGGCGCAAGCGACUCGCUGGGCCAUAACUGACGCUGAGGAACGAAAGCUAGGGGAGCGAAUGGG
rnacentral:rRNA from 1 species